AGAGUUUGAUCCUGGCUCAGGAUGAGCGCUAGCUACAGGCUUAACACAUGCAAGUCGAGGGGCAUCAGGGCGGUAGCUUGCUAUCGUUGCUGGCGACCGGCGCACGGGUGAGUAACGCGUAUCCAACCUUCCCAUGACUCCGGUUCAGCCCGCCGAAAGGCGGAUUACUCCCGGAUGGUUUCCGAAGAGGGCAUCUGAUUUGGAAUAAAGAUUUAUCGGUCAUGGAUGGGGAUGCGUCUGAUUAGGCAGCAGGCGGGGUAACGGCCCACCUGGCCGACGAUCAGUAGGGGUUCUGAGAGGAAGGUCCCCCACAUUGGAACUGAGACACGGUCCAAACUCCUACGGGAGGCAGCAGUGAGGAAUAUUGGUCAAUGGGCGCGAGCCUGAACCAGCCAAGUAGCGUGAGGGAAGACUGCCCUACGGGUUGUAAACCUCUUUUGUUCGGGAAUAAAGUGCGGCACGCGUGCCGUUUUGUAUGUACCGUUCGAAUAAGGACCGGCUAAUUCCGUGCCAGCAGCCGCGGUAAUACGGAAGGUCCAGGCGUUAUCCGGAUUUAUUGGGUUUAAAGGGAGCGCAGGCGGCCCGUUAAGCGUGACGUGAAAUGUAGUUGCUCAACAUCUGCACUGCGUCGCGAACUGGUGGGCUUGAGUUCACGGUAGGAAGGCGGAAUUCGUGGUGUAGCGGUGAAAUGCUUAGAUAUCACGAGGAACCCCGAUUGCGAAGGCAGCUUUCCGCAGUGUUACUGACGCUCAUGCUCGAAAGCGCGGGUAUCGAACAGGAUUAGAUACCCUGGUAGUCCGCGCGGUAAACGAUGGAUGCCCGCUGUUCGGCCAUUCGGCUGAGCGGCCAAGCGAAAGCAUUAAGCAUCCCACCUGGGGAGUACGCCGGCAACGGUGAAACUCAAAGGAAUUGACGGGGGCCCGCACAAGCGGAGGAACAUGUGGUUUAAUUCGAUGAUACGCGAGGAACCUUACCCGGGCUUGAACGUAAGACGAAGAUACAGGAAACUGUAUCGCCUUCGGGCGUUUUGCGAGGUGCUGCAUGGUUGUCGUCAGCUCGUGCCGUGAGGUGUUAGGUUAAGUCCUGCAACGAGCGCAACCCUUACCUUCAGUUGCCAGCACGUAAUGGUGGGGACUCUGGAGGAACUGCCUACGCAAGUAGAGAGGAAGGUGGGGAUGACGUCAAAUCAGCACGGCCCUUAUGUUCGGGGCUACACACGUGCUACAAUGGCGUGUACAGAGGGCAGCUACCCCGCGAGGGGAUGCCAAUCCUCAAAGCACGUCUCAGUUCGGAUUGGAGUCUGUAACUCGACUCUAUGAAGUUGGAUUCGCUAGUAAUCGCGCAUCAGCCAUGGCGCGGUGAAUACGUUCCCGGGCCUUGCACUCACCGCCCGUCAAG
rnacentral:rRNA from 1 species